UACGUAGGGUGCGAGCGUUAAUUGGAAUUACUGGGCGUAAAGCGUGCGCAGGCGGUUCGUUGUGUCGGCGGUGAAAGCCCCGGGCUCAACCUGGGAAUGGCCGUUGAAACUGGCGAACUGGAGUGUGGCAGAGGGGGGUGGAAUUCCGCGUGUAGCAGUGAAAUGCGUAGAGAUGCGGAGGAACACCGAUGGCGAAGGCAGCCCCCUGGGCUGACACUGACGCUCAGGCACGAAAGCGUGGGGAGCAAACAGG
rnacentral:rRNA from 1 species